rnacentral:snoRNA from 1 species
CCCUCCUACAAAGGCGUGUCUGUGGUUUCCUGUCCUUGGACACAUAAGAAUUGGAAGCAAAAGAGAUGUAGACUUUGAGAAGUCUGGAGCCAGCUUUCUCCCCACAAGCUCAAGGUCACCCUUUCCCACACAG